GAGAGUUCAAACCAUUUACUAAGUAGAUUCUUAGCCUUCCCACUCCCGCCCACUCUCAAGCUCCGGUGCCCACAAGCCUUGCCUGGGGAGAUGUUGGAGUGAGACCGGGAGGUCCAGGCCAAGUAACUGGCCCCUGGGCUCGGGCCCUGCUGAUGGGGUAAAGACCAGCUGUACACAUCUCUCCGGUGGGGUCCCUGGGCUCUCCAUCCGCCCCUCCGAAGUCAGCAGGAGCCUCUGGGAAGUCAGGCAACAGCCAAGACCCCCAGCGUCUUGGAGGGGAAGCGGCAUCCUCAGUCUGACACCCGCUCUGCCUGUGGAAACAGCGCCGCGCACAGAAAAGGAAACUGUCCGAGUCCGUCUGUUAAGGGCAGAGCCCGGCUGGUGGCAGGAGAGGGUCAGCUGCGGGCGCAGGCAGGAGCCCAUCCAGGAACCGCGUCGGGGUGCAGAGCCGGACGUUCUGCGGUGCCUGCGCGCGGCGCUACCCGGCGGAAGCCGCAGGUCCAUGCGGGGCUCCCCAGGCUCAUCCAACGCCUCGCAGGCGUAGCUGGCAGGAGGGCCCCCGCCGUGCCCAGCGCCCUCAGACGUAGUUCUUCUUGUCGUAGUCGCCGGUGGCCGUGGGCCGCCGCGGCGCCGAAUACUUCACGGGGAAGCUGAGGUCGGGACGGCUGGUGCAGACCCAGGCGCCGCAGCACAAGAGGCCGCCGCCUACCAUGAGCAGCGCGGUGGCCGCCCAGCCGAUAUACAGCGCUGCGCCCAGCUCGUACUUCUGCGACACGGGCACAGACGGAUCGUAGAACUCGCGGACGACAAUGUUGGCGAACCAGCAGAGUGGCACUAGCGCAAGCAGCCCGCAAAGCAGGUAAAGCACGCCUCCCGUGAGGGCCACACGCGCCUUUGCCGGGCCCGGGGCCACGCAGGUGGUGCACUGCGCUCCCGCCAAGGUCACGAAGAGCGCAACGAACGCCAACAGCACGGCGCCCACGGUGAGCGCCCGCGCUGCCUGCACCUCGGUGCUCAGAGCCAGCACCGAGUCGUACACCUUGCACUGCAUGUGCCCCGUGCUCUGCACCACGCACGACAUCCACAGCCCCUUCCAGGUGGUCUGCGCCGUCACGAUGUUGUGGUCCAGGAAGGCAGUCACCUGCCACAUGGGCAGCCCGCAAGCCAGGAUCAGACCCCCCCAGCCCACCAGGCACAGCACCAGGCCCAGUAUCUCCAACGCUGCGGACCCCAUGGCUAGAGGAGAGACGCGAGCCCGACGGUCCCCAGAACCCCCAAGGCCGUGCUGCGCGGCGCCCUGGGCGGGCCCUAGUGCCUUUGCGCCCGCGCUCCCGGCUCUCGGCCCCAGUCCGUUUGCCCCGCGGGUCUGUCGCACCUUCUAGGUCUGCCAACUCCUGCCGGGGGU
rnacentral:lncRNA from 1 species